rnacentral:rRNA from 1 species
GCCCAGACUCCUACGGGAGGCAGCAGUGGGGAAUAUUGCACAAUGGGGGAAACCCUGAUGCAGCGACGCCGCGUGAGCGAUGAAGUAUUUCGGCAUGUAAAGCUCUAUCAGCAGGGAAGAAAAUGACGGUACCUGACUAAGAAGCCCCGGCUAACUACGUGCCAGCAGCCGCGGUAAUACGUAGGGGGCAAGCGUUAUCCGGAUUUACUGGGUGUAAAGGGAGCGUAGACGGCUGUGCAAGCCAGAUGUGAAAGCCCGGGGCUCAACCCCGGGACUGCAUUUGGAACUGUGUGGCUGGAGUGUCGGAGAGGCAGGCGGAAUUCCUAGUGUAGCGGUGAAAUGCGUAGAUAUUAGGAGGAACACCAGUGGCGAAGGCGGCCUGCUGGACGAUGACUGACGUUGAGGCUCGAAAGCGUGGGGAGCAAACAGGAUUAGAUACCCCCGUAA